rnacentral:RNase_P_RNA from 1 species
AGCAGCCUGAAGCCGCGAUGCUCGUCCCACACAGGAUUCCGCUGCGAAGCUUUGUUUGCGAGCGGGCUAAGGUCUGAGACUACUCUCCUUUUCAAUAGUCCCUAGCUGGUUCCGACUAUAAUGGUCGAGCGACGCACCUGAAAUUCGUCCGUACGCGUUUGUGGCCACUGCCUGAAGAUCCUUUGUGGAGAAGGCUCGGUGGCUCUGCACCAAACCGUAUCGACUUGGGAUCCGUCGCAAGGAGCGAGCAGCAUUGGCUGGUAAUGUCCUCUGUCAUUCGUUCUCCAUCGGCUUCAUUUUAUCGUUAACAGGGGGAUGGCUCCCUCCUGUACUCCUUUUGGAAGAAACCAACUGGCCUGACUACACUGUUUCAUGUGGAAGGUGACAUUCUUCCAUCAGAGGAGGCAACCCGCGAACAGCGGGACCUCAUCCUGAUGGCGUCGCCUCCGCAGUUCCACUCUGAUCCUGCGCGAUCGAGGUUUUUUGCGUACGCAACGCGCGUUCCAUGUAUGCAUACGUACAUGAAGAUCUUAUUUUAUGCAAAUAAGAUAUCACCAUCACGGAUAGUCCUGAUGGUUUUCCAACUACGCUUAGCCAGUUGAGGGGACGCCCACGUACUCUGGGUGCUGUUGAUCAUGUACCAUUGAUCACAGCCACUGUCAUCGCGGCGUGUUCACCAUGUACCACCGUGCCAUCACAUUGCUUUCCGGCCCGUGGCGCCUCAAUAAACUGUCAAGUUAAUGACACGGAACUGCCUCGACAAUGGACGACCCUACUCGCACAGACGUGACUACGGCCACUAUCACGAUCGAAAUUCAACAUGCCUGGCAUGUUUCUUUUGGCGAGCCACCAAAUUGUAUAGUCAUCCGGAACUGGUGUUGUUGUACGAGGAAAGCGACGAUACGAUAAUGUUACCUGGACGCUGUGCUGUUCUUCAGUGCAAUUCGCGGCGCGGGCUCAUUGAUGUCUUGCCUUUUGUAGGUGAGAAUCAUCGGGCUCGUAACUCGAUUCAGACUACUCCAGGGCUGCU